rnacentral:rRNA from 1 species
AACGUAGGAGACAAACGUUAUCCGGAUUUACUGGGCGUAAAGGGCGUGUAGGUGGUAUCGUAAGUCUGGCGUGAAAUUUCUCGGCUUAACCGAGGCAGGUCGUCGGAUACUGCGAGGCUAGAGGACGGUAGAGGCGUGUGGAAUUCCGGGUGUAGUGGUGAAAUGCGUAGAGAUCCGGAGGAACACCAGUGGCGAAGGCGACACGCUGGGCCGUACCUGACACUGAUGCGCGACAGCAUGGGGAGCAAACAGG